rnacentral:rRNA from 1 species
AUUGAACGCUGGCGGCAGGCCUAACACAUGCAAGUCGAACGAGUCGCGGACGUGUGAGUAAUGUCUGUGAAACUGCCCGAUGGAGGGGGAUAACUACUGGAAACGGUAGCUAAUACCGCAUACCAUCGGAUGUGCCCAUAGGGGAUUAGCUUGUAGGUGGGGUAACGGCUCACCUAGGCGACGAUCCCUAGCUGGUCUGAGAGGAUGACCAGCCACACUGGAACUGAGACACGGCCCAGACUCCGACGGGAGGCAGCAGUGGGGAAGAUUGCAAAAGGGGCGCAAGCCUGAGGCAGAAAGGCCGCGUGGAGGAAGAAGGCCUGCGGGUUGUAAAGUACUUUCAGCGAGGAGGCGUUACCCAAAGAAGAAGCACCGGCUAACUCCGUGCCAGCAGCCGCGGUAAUUC